GAGACACCCUUAUGGGGCAAGACUUGCUUCAGUGGGGCUUUGGUGCUCUCUGAGUCUGCCCCUUGAGUGUGUGUGUCCCU
rfam:Myotis brandtii contig223590, whole genome shotgun sequence.